rnacentral:lncRNA from 1 species
AAGAAAAAAACCUAGAAAGCUAAGAGAAGACAGCAUAACUGCCAUUUUUCGACUGAACCAAACGGCUCCACCCCAAACGACCAGAAUCUCCUCCUCCUUCUUCGACUCGGAACAGAAGCCCUCAACGACAAUCACCCUCAGCCGCUAACACCAAACUACCACCUGAACUUCACUCCUUCACUCACCCUCGUCCAGAACACCACAACCAGUGACCACCCGUUCUCCUCCACCCGUUCUCCUCCAGCCGUCGCGCCACCCAUAUCUGCCGCCGCCGGAACUCCAUAACCACCCUCCAGUCGUUCUUCAUUUCUUCAACAGAAGCCACCAGCAAAAACGACCCUCAACACACCCUCAUCGCCGGAAACCUAUCGGAACUCCAAAACCAUCAGCUGACAUCAACGUCUCCUCUCAAAAACCAACCAGCAGAACAAACAGUAAUGGAAAAGAGAUGAGGAAGACGGACGGCGCAGCGACAGUAACGAGAGGGAGAGAUGAGUGAGGAAAUAGCCUAUGUUUUUGAGAGAUUUCCUCUCUAUUUUCUUGAAGUUUUCACAAAAACAUAUGUAAUAGAGAGCAUCUCUGUUUGAAUAUUGACUUGUGAUUACAUCAAGAAAAGAUUUAUAUUAAAAGCAUUUCAGUUUCUUCUUUGAAUUUGGCUUCAUCUAAUGGAAUACAUUUGAGUAGCUUAUGC